rnacentral:rRNA from 1 species
CCCUUAGAUGUUCUGGGCCGCACGCGCGCUACACUGAUGAAUUCAACGAGCACUAACCUGUGCCGAAAGGUUCGGGUAAUCUUGUGAAAUUUCAUCGUGAUGGGGAUUGAUUAUUGCAAUUUUUAAUCAUAAACGAGGAAUGCCUAGUAAGCGUGAGUCAUCAGCUCACGUUGAUUACGUCCCUGCCCUUUGUACACACCGCCCGUCGCUCCUACCGAUUGAAUGUGCCAGUGAAAAGUUCGGAUUGGAGAUAGGAAACGGCAACGUAUCCUAUUUCCGAGAAAAUCUUUAAACUUUCCCAUUUAGAGGAAGGAGAAGUCGUAACA